AUUGAACGCUGGCGGCAUGCCUUACACAUGCAAGUCGAACGGCAGCACGGGGGCAACCCUGGUGGCGAGUGGCGAACGGGUGAGUAAUGCAUCGGAACGUGCCCAGUAGUGGGGGAUAACCAGUCGAAAGACUGGCUAAUACCGCAUACGACCUACGGGUGAAAGCGGGGGACCGUAAGGCCUCGCGCUAUCGGAUCGGCCGAUGUCUGAUUAGCUAGUUGGCGGGGUGAGAGCCCACCAAGGCGACGAUAAGUAGCUGGUCGGAGAGGACGACAAGCCACACUGGGACUGAGACACGGCCCAGACUCCGACGGGAGGCAGCAGUGGGGAAUUUUGGACAAUGGGCGCAAGCCUGAUCCAGCCAUGCCGCGUGCGGGAAGAAGGCCUUCGGGUUGUAAACCGCUUUUGGCAGGAACGAAACGGCGCAAGCCAAUACCUUGCGCUAAUGACGGUACCUGCAGAAUAAGCACCGGCUAACUACGUGCCAGCAGCCGCCGUAAUAC
rnacentral:rRNA from 1 species